GAGCCCAAGAUAAUCGCACUUGAAAGGAAGCCUUGCUGCUGCCAUCUUUUAUAGGAUACUUUGCACAUCAAUAGAGGCAGAAAUGUCAAAGUUGCCUUGUAAUAAUGCUCCAAGAGAGGAGUAAAGUGUAGUGGCCCGUGGUCUCUGUAACUCCCUACAUCCAGUGCCAAAGGCAAGGGUAGGGCUGCUGCCAAGGUGGCCCAUCCAAGGGGUGGACCUAACAAUAGGUAAAUGAAGAAAGCAACGUAGCUUCCAUCUCACCCUUCCACUGAAAGUGCUCUCACCAAACUCACAAAUUAUAUCCUCAAGACUAACUCCAAUUUCUUAAAAUGUAACUCCCAUUUCUACCAUUGGCUGCAUUUGACAUUUCCAACUUUUUCUAAUUUCAAUGGCUUCUCUGAGUUUCCUAGGACCACCUAGUCCUCUUCUUUUGACAAUGCUUAAAAUAUUGGCAUUUCUGCAGGUCCUGUCUUAGAUACUGUACUCACUCUACAGACCCUCUCUGAGUGAUCUCAUCUCCUUCCAUAACUACAGCUAAACCUAUAUGCUAAUGAAUCUCAAAUCUGCAUCUUCAUUCCUGAUCUCUUUUCUGAGCUCCAGGCAGUAUAACCCCUACCCAUUGGCACCGGCCAUCAUCCAUUCUACUUAAUUUUGUAUCAUUGACAAUAAAGCAAUCAUGAAAUCAUUUUGUAUGCCUGUUUUCUAAGUCAGUUCACAUUUCUCUGUUCAUGUAACAAAGAAUCUGCUUUUAAGAAUUUUAGCAACAGUUUCUAAACAUUUUCAGUUCCUCUGGUCCUGCCUUUCCAUUUUAUCCUUCACACUGCA
rnacentral:lncRNA from 1 species